UCAGCCAGUGAUGAGGAUGUCUCCCACUCAAAUUCAAGUUUCCCUACCAUGAGAUAACUAAAUGCACUACCUACCGUCAGAGGCCAC
ensembl:snoRNA SNORD33 Small nucleolar RNA Z195/SNORD33/SNORD32 family